rnacentral:lncRNA from 1 species
CAAACAUGAACGUUGGAGUUGCCCACAGUGAAGUGAAUCCAAAUACCCGUGUCAUGAACAGCCGGGGUAUGUGGCUGACAUAUGCAUUGGGAGUUGGCUUGCUUCAUAUUGUCUUACUCAGCAUUCCCUUCUUCAGUGUUCCUGUUGCUUGGACUUUAACAAAUAUUAUACAUAAUCUGGGGAUGUACGUAUUUUUGCAUGCAGUGAAAGGAACACCUUUCGAAACUCCUGACCAGGGUAAAGCAAGGCUCCUAACUCAUUGGGAACAACUGGACUAUGGAGUACAGUUUACAUCUUCACGGAAGUUUUUCACAAUUUCUCCAAUAAUUCUGUAAUUUCUAUACGAAGUAUGAUCCAACUCACUUCAUCCUAAACACAGCUUCUCUCCUGAGUGUACUAAUUCCCAAAAUGCCACAACUACAUGGUGUUCGGAUCUUUGGAAUUAAUAAGUAUUGAAAUGUUUUGAAACUGAAAAAAAAUUUUACAGCUACUGAAUUUCUUAUAAGGAAGGAGUGGUUAGUAAACUGCACUGUUUCUGUGAUAAUGUGAAAUGAGAAGUAUUUACAUUGGAGGGCCAAUGGCUGGUCCUUCAAGUGCUGUUUUGAAGUGCAGAUUUCCAUUAAAUGAUGCCUCUGUUUAAUACACCUGGUACAUUUCUGAAGAGGGGCUUUAUAAGCAGGCUGGGCAGGCCCAGCUUAUAAGUUAAAGGGCAUCACAGUGAGGGUGUAGUAGAUAAAUUCAAGGAAAUAAGAGAUUUGUAAGAAACUAGGACCAGCUUAACUUAUAAUGAAUGGGCAUUGUGUUAAGAAAAGAACAUUUCCAGUCAUUCAGCUGUGGUUAUUUAAAGCAGACUUACAUGUAAACCGGAAUCCUCUCUAUACAAGUUUAUUAAAGAUUAUUUUUAUUACCG